rnacentral:rRNA from 1 species
CGAACGCUGGCGGCGUGCUUAACACAUGCAAGUCGAACGGAAAGGCCCUGCUUUUGUGGGGUGCUCGAGUGGCGAACGGGUGAGUAACACGUGAGUAACCUGCCCUUGACUUUGGGAUAACUUCAGGAAACUGGGGCUAAUACCGGAUAGGAGCUCCUGCUGCAUGGUGGGGGUUGGAAAGUUUCGGCGGUUGGGGAUGGACUCGCGGCUUAUCAGCUUGUUGGUGGGGUAGUGGCUUACCAAGGCUUUGACGGGUAGCCGGCCUGAGAGGGUGACCGGCCACAUUGGGACUGAGAUACGGCCCAGACUCCUACGGGAGGCAGCAGUGGGGAAUAUUGCACAAUGGGCGGAAGCCUGAUGCAGCAACGCCGCGUGCGGGAUGACGGCCUUCGGGUUGUAAACCGCUUUCGCCUGUGACGAAGCGUGAGUGACGGUAAUGGGUAAAGAAGCACCGGCUAACUACGUGCCAGCAGCCGCGGUGAUACGUAGGGUGCGAGCGUUGUCCGGAUUUAUUGGGCGUAAAGGGCUCGUAGGUGGUUGAUCGCGUCGGAAGUGUAAUCUUGGGGCUUAACCCUGAGCGUGCUUUCGAUACGGGUUGACUUGAGGAAGGUAGGGGAGAAUGGAAUUCCUGGUGGAGCGGUGGAAUGCGCAGAUAUCAGGAGGAACACCAGUGGCGAAGGCGGUUCUCUGGGCCUUUCCUGACGCUGAGGAGCGAAAGCGUGGGGAGCGAACAGGCUUAGAUACCCUGGUAGUCCACGCUGUAAACGGUGGGUACUAGGUGUGGGGUCCAUUCCACGGGUUCCGUGCCGUAGCUAACGCUUUAAGUACCCCGCCUGGGGAGUACGGCCGCAAGGCUAAAACUCAAAGGAAUUGACGGGGCCCCGCACAAGCGGCGGAGCAUGCGGAUUAAUUCGAUGCAACGCGUAGAACCUUACCUGGGUUUGACAUGGAUCGGGAGUGCUCAGAGAUGGGUGUGCCUCUUUUGGGGUCGGUUCACAGGUGGUGCAUGGCUGUCGUCAGCUCGUGUCGUGAGAUGUUGGGUUAAGUCCCGCAACGAGCGCAACCCUUGUUCACUGUUGCCAGCACGUUAUGGUGGGGACUCAGUGGAGACCGCCGGGGUCAACUCGGAGGAAGGUGGGGAUGACGUCAAGUCAUCAUGCCCCUUAUGUCCAGGGCUUCACGCAUGCUACAAUGGCUGGUACAGAGAGUGGCGAGCCUGUGAGGGUGAGCGAAUCUCGGAAAGCCGGUCUCAGUUCGGAUUGGGGUCUGCAACUCGACCUCAUGAAGUCGGAGUCGCUAGUAAUCGCAGAUCAGCAACGCUGCGGUGAAUACGUUCCCGGGGCUUGUACACACCGCCCGUCAAGUCAUGAAAGUUGGUAACACCCGAAGCCGGUGGCCUAACCGUUGUGGGGGAGCCGUCGAAGGUGGGACUGGUGA